rnacentral:lncRNA from 1 species
AGGAUCACCAGGGAACUCGAUAGGGAUGCACGUUCUGGCUCUCACCCCAGAUCCACUGACUCAGAAACCCUGGGGGUGGGGCAAUCUGUUUUAACAAGACCACCAGGUGAUUCUGAUGCACAUUGAAGUCUGACAGCCACUGGUGAGAGCAAUGAUAAUAAUAACAGUGACUUCCACAGAUGUUGAUCACCAACUGUGGGCCAGGCCCUUUCACACUUUUCUUAUGUUAUCUUAUUUGGUCCUCACAACAAUCCGUUUUAUCAAUGAGGAAACUAAGACUGAGAAGUUAAAUACAUUCUCAAGGUCACAUGACUAGCUAGUGGUGGAUCCGGGAAACCACGUCUGUCUGACAUCUACGUCCAUUCUCUGGCCACUUUGCCAACUCACCUUCAAGGGUCAACGGUGAUAUUAUCAUAAACAAUUUCAGCAGGGAAUGAAGACAGAAGCCAGAUUGCAGUGGCUUUGAAAGAGAGGAAGUGGGAAAGGGGAAAAACACUUUAUCAACAACUUUGACUUUGAAGGAGAAAAGAGACAUAAAAUGAAAACCAGAAGCCUAAAGACAGCAGCAUGACCCAAAAACUUCCUGGUCUCUCCACCGUGGACAAUCAGGCCACUGGAAAGGGAGAUGAAACUGAAGGCCUCUGCCCUCUGAGAAGAUGAACAGAACUCACCAGAGCACAAAGAAAAUAAAUAUCUACUCCUGGUUGAAGUCUUUUUUCGACUAGAGUCAUGGCCUUCACAGGGAGACAAUCUAUUGACCACUUCCGGAGCUGUGCUGUGGAAAAAGAAGAGACCAGAAAAAGGAAGCCUUGGGGACAUGUUUUGCAUGAAUUAGCAAAGUCCAAUGUGAGCAUUCUGCGCUGGAACAUGUAUAUGGUGGUGACUGAGCUUUGGCCAUGCAGGAGAUGGCAGGAGCAACAUAAAGAAGAGAAAGAAGAUGAGGGUAGCUGAAGAGGUUCCGGCAAGGGGAGAGCAAAGGGAGAGGAAGACAGCGGCUGGCAGGGCCAAGGGAGGAGCGUGCUAGAUUCAGUGUUCUUCCUCAACCUUGAAAUGCUGUCUCCUCACAACCCCUCCACCUCCUCAGCUCUGACUGUCUCCUUGGUCCCAGCUCUGCACGAAGGCCCUGCCAGCUGUGGCUACCUCAAAGGAUGAGAAAGAAGACCAAUGAGAUUUUUUAAAGAAAAAAAUAAGGGAAGAGAAGGGAACAAAAGAGGAAGAG